rnacentral:rRNA from 1 species
UACGGAGGAUGCAAGCGUUAUCCGGACUGAUUGGGCGUAAAGCGUCCGCAGGUGGCCAUGUCAGUCUGCUGUCAAAGCGUCUGGCUCAACCAGAUAAAGGCAGUGGAAACUACAUAGCUAGAGUAAGGUAGGGGUAGAGGGAAUUCCUGGUGUAGCGGUGAAAUGCGUAGAGAUCAGGAAGAACACCGGUGGCGAAAGCGCUCUGCUGGACCUAAACUGACACUGAGGGACGAAAGCUAGGGGAGCGAAUGGG